rnacentral:rRNA from 1 species
AUUGAACGCUGGCGGCAGGCCUAACACAUGCAAGUCGAGCGGUAACAGAUCUAGCUUGCUAGAUGCUGACGAGCGGCGGACGGGUGAGUAAUGCAUAGGAAUCUGCCCGRUAGUGGGGGAUAACCUGGGGAAACCCAGGCUAAUACCGCAUACGUCCUACGGGAGAAAGGGGGCUUCGGCUCCCGCUAUUGGAUGAGCCUAUGUCGGAUUAGCUAGUUGGUGAGGUAAAGGCUCACCAAGGCUGCGAUCCGUAGCUGGUCUGAGAGGAUGAUCAGCCACAUCGGGACUGAGACACGGCCCGAACUCCUACGGGAGGCAGCAGUGGGGAAUAUUGGACAAUGGGGGCAACCCUGAUCCAGCCAUGCCGCGUGUGUGAAGAAGGCCCUCGGGUUGUAAAGCACUUUCAGCGAGGAAGAACGCCUAGCGGUUAAUACCCGUUAGGAAAGACAUCACUCGCAGAAGAAGCACCGGCUAACUCCGUGCCAGCAGCCGCGGUAAUACGGAGGGUGCAAGCGUUAAUCGGAAUUACUGGGCGUAAAGCGCGCGUAGGUGGCUUGAUAAGCCGGUUGUGAAAGCCCCGGGCUCAACCUGGGAACGGCAUCCGGAACUGUCAGGCUAGAGUGCAGGAGAGGAAGGUAGAAUUCCCGGUGUAGCGGUGAAAUGCGUAGAGAUCGGGAGGAAUACCAGUGGCGAAGGCGGCCUUCUGGACUGACACUGACACUGAGGUGCGAAAGCGUGGGUAGCAAACAGGAUUAGAUACCCUGGUAGUCCACGCCGUAAACGAUGUCGACCAGCCGUUGGGUGCCUAGCGCACUUUGUGGCGAAGUUAACGCGAUAAGUCGACCGCCUGGGGAGUACGGCCGCAAGGUUAAAACUCAAAUGAAUUGACGGGGGCCCGCACAAGCGGUGGAGCAUGUGGUUUAAUUCGAUGCAACGCGAAGAACCUUACCUACCCUUGACAUCUACAGAAGCCGGAAGAGAUUCUGGUGUGCCUUCGGGAACUGUAAGACAGGUGCUGCAUGGCUGUCGUCAGCUCGUGUUGUGAAAUGUUGGGUUAAGUCCCGUAACGAGCGCAACCCUUGUCCUUAUUUGCCAGCGAGUA